rnacentral:rRNA from 1 species
AGAAUCAACGCUGGCGGCGUGCCUAACACAUGCAAGUCGCACGAGAAAGGGGAGCAAUCCCUGAGUAAAGUGGCGCACGGGUGAGUAACACGUGGGCAAUCUACCUUUCGGUGAGGAAUACCGGCGAGAAAUCGCCGACAAUACCGCAUACGCUUCGCAAGAAGCAAAGUCGCAAGACGCCGGAGGAGGAGCCUGCGCCCGAUUAGCUCGUUGGUGGAGUAAUGGUCUACCAAGGCGACGAUCGGUAGCUGGUCUGAGAGGAUGAUCAGCCACACUGGGAUUGAGAACGGCCCAGACUCCUACGGGGGGCAGCAGUGAGGAAUUUUCGUCAAUGGGGGAAACCCUGAACGAGCAACGCCGCGUGCAGGAAGACACUUUUCGGAGCGUAAACUGCUUUUCGUCGGGGACGAGUAAGGACGGUACCCGAGGAAUCGAGCCCCGGCUAACUACGUGCCAGCAGCCGC